AAAGGCUCAAAUAGUAACCUAACAGGUGCCACUAUCGUGGCAUAGUCUCUGAGACUGUGUCAGGUGGUGGUACCACCCAAUGUCAGUGUCAAGCAGUGGUACCACUAAACUAGGCGGUAGUACUGUCCAAUGUCAGAGCUGCAGACGGUGGUACUGCCCAGCACAAGCGGUGGUACCGUCAAGACCUAGGAAACCCGGGA
rnacentral:lncRNA from 1 species